GGGUUGUGAGGUUAAGCGACUAAGCGUACACGGUGGAUGCCCUGGCAGUCAGAGGCGAUGAAGGGCGUGCUAAUCUGCGAUAAGCGCCGGUAAGGUGAUAUGAACCGUUAUAACCGGCGAUACCCGAAUGGGGAAACCCAGUGUGAUUCGUCACACUAUCAUUAACUGAAUCCAUAGGUUAAUGAGGCGAACCGGGGGAACUGAAACAUCUAAGUACCCCGAGGAAAAGAAAUCAACCGAGAUUCCCCCAGUAGCGGCGAGCGAACGGGGAGGAGCCCAGAGCCUGAAUCAGCAUGUGUGUUAGUGGAAGCGUCUGGAAAGGCGCGCGAUACAGGGUGACAGCCCCGUACACAAAAGCGCAUGUGCUGUGAGCUCGAUGAGUAGGGCGGGACACGUGGUAUCCUGUCUGAAUAUGGGGGGACCAUCCUCCAAGGCUAAAUACUCCUGACUGACCGAUAGUGAACCAGUACCGUGAGGGAAAGGCGAAAAGAACCCCGGCGAGGGGAGUGAAAAAGAACCUGAAACCGUGUACGUACAAGCAGUGGGAGCACAGGUUUACCUGUGUGACUGCGUACCUUUUGUAUAAUGGGUCAGCGACUUAUAUUCUGUAGCAAGGUUAACCGUAUAGGGGAGCCGGAGGGAAACCGAGUCUUAAUUGGGCGUUAAGUUGCAGGGUAUAGACCCGAAACCCGGUGAUCUAGCCAUGGGCAGGUUGAAGGUUGGGUAACACUAACUGGAGGACCGAACCGACUAAUGUUGAAAAAUUAGCGGAUGACCUGUGGCUGGGGGUGAAAGGCCAAUCAAACCGGGAGAUAGCUGGUUCUCCCCGAAAGCUAUUUAGGUAGCGCCUCGUGAAUUCAUCUCCGGGGGUAGAGCACUGUUUCGGCUAGGGGGCCAUCCCGGCUUACCAACCCGAUGCAAACUGCGAAUACCGGAGAAUGUUAUCACGGGAGACACACGGCGGGUGCUAACGUCCGUCGUGAAGAGGGAAACAACCCAGACCGCCAGCUAAGGUCCCAAAGUCAUGGUUAAGUGGGAAACGAUGUGGGAAGGCCCAGACAGCCAGGAUGUUGGCUUAGAAGCAGCCAUCAUUUAAAGAAAGCGUAAUAGCUCACUGGUCGAGUCGGCCUGCGCGGAAGAUGUAACGGGGCUAAACCAUGCACCGAAGCUGCGGCAGCGAACGUAUCACCCAAGACAACUUUACGGAGUUGACGAUUGACGGAGCGAAGCGACGUCAAAGCGUUCAUUAAAGUCGAGUUGGCUUAGGGAUACGUUCGUUGGGUAGGGGAGCGUUCUGUAAGCCUGUGAAGGUGUGUCGUGAGGCAUGCUGGAGGUAUCAGAAGUGCGAAUGCUGACAUAAGUAACGAUAAAGCGGGUGAAAAGCCCGCUCGCCGGAAGACCAAGGGUUCCUGUCCAACGUUAAUCGGGGCAGGGUGAGUCGACCCCUAAGGC
rnacentral:rRNA from 1 species